CUUCAACUUUCGAUACCAGCUAUCAAAGUUAGAUCCAGUGAGCUUAUCACUGUCCAAUAGCGAACGGAGGGAUAGUGUAUUGGCCAUAACUGAAAGGAGAAAAUACUAGCCUAUUAGUAUAUGAAUUAUUUUUAAUUCUGAAGAUAUAGACUUUAGUCUAAAGGUUCUCCCAUUAUUUUUAAUGAAUUGAUAGCCUCUACCUCC
rnacentral:lncRNA from 1 species